UCCGGUUUGGCACCGGCAGUCCUCCCAGAGUCCCCGACUUGACUCGCUGGCAACUGGGAGCGGGGGUUGCGCUCGUUGCGGGACUUAACCCAACAUCUCACGACACGAGCUGACGACAGCCACGCAGCACCUGUGCACGGACUCCGAAGAGGAACCGAUGUUUCCACCGGCUUUCCCGUGCAUGUCAAGCCCAGGUAAGGUUCUUCGCGUUGCGUCGAAUUGAACCACAUGCUCCACCGCUUGUGCAGGCCCCCGUCAAUUCCUUUGAGUUUCGGUCUUGCGACCGUACUCCCCAGGCGGGAUGCUUAAAGCGUUAGCGGCGCCACCGAAGAGCAAGCUCCCCGACGGCUAGCAUCCAUCGUUUACGGCGUGGACUAC
rnacentral:misc_RNA from 1 species